rnacentral:rRNA from 1 species
GUAGGGAAUAUUGGUCAAUGGACGAAAGUCUGAACCAGCCAUUCCGCGUGCAGGAAGAAGAUUCUAUGGAUUGUAAACUGCUUUUAGCAGAGAAGAAACGCCUUCAUUGAUGAGGGUUUGACGGUAUCUGCGGAAUAAGCACCGGCUAACUCCGUGCCAGCAGCCGCGGUAAUACGGGGGGUGCAAGCGUUAUCCGGAAUCACUGGGUUUAAAGGGUGCGUAGGCGGGAAAUUAAGUCAGUGGUGAAAGUCUGUUGCUUAACGAUAGAAUUGCCGUUGAUACUGAUUUUCUUGAAUUGGGUUGAGGUUAGCGGAAUGUGACAUGUAGCGGUGAAAUGCAUAGAUAUGUCAUGGAACACCAAUUGCGAAGGCAGCUAGCUGGGCCUUGAUUGACGCUGAGGCACGAAAGCGUGGGUAGCGAACAGGAUUAGAAACCCUGGUAGUCC